rnacentral:misc_RNA from 1 species
GAUCGAAUCGCGUUUCGUACUGUUUCGUACUGUCUGGCACUGUCUGGUACUGUCCGGGCCAGUCCGGGCUAGUCCGGUCUGUCAGUUUGCGUGUUUUGCAUAGUUUUGCGUCGUGACGUUGAGUCCAGCGAUCGUUUCCUGACGUUUAGACAUUUAUCGUUGCAAUAUGUCGUUUUUAGGAGUAGCGAAACAUUCGUAUAACGUCGAGUCUGAAAUUUCUGGUGUUACCGCGGCGUUGAUCGUGUUCUAGGGGUCCGAGUAGUCCUCGGAACUCUCAGACGUUUUGAAGGUUAUAUACGCCAAUUAUAGUACUCCAGUUUAAUAAUAAACUGACAAUUAUAUCGAAGUGGCAAAGGAUUCUUUUUUGUAUCGUCGAUACUCCGCCUCUACUUCGAUUCAGAAUUAUUCCAGUCGAUUUGUGAUUUUUAAACGUCAAACUGGACCGUCACGCUAGAAAAAAACGUCAAGAAGUUGACAUGUGGAUCAGCAAUAAUGAAGCAAUUAAUUCACACAACACGAUAUUCAAUUAUCUCAUAGAAGAGUGCAAGUGCUUAGCACCUGGUGCCCGACUGUCUUAUAAAUUAAGAAAUCGCUUGGAAAAGUUCAAAGUAGACACUCGUAAGCAAAUCGUGUCCAGAACAAAGGAUGGGUGUGCGCCACUGUUUAUAGCAUGUAAAAGGGGCCAGGUUGAAAUCGUAGAGUAUCUCAUCACGGUGUGCCAUGCGGACAUCGAACAACGUGGGAUGUACGAGGUGCCGGAUGACAGAUCGGUACACUUUGCUACGCCGCUGUGGUGUGCCGCGGUAUCUCGCCAGUUAGCCGUCCUAAAAUGUUUGAUAGACCACGGAGCCGACGUGAACGCAGUGUCGGAUUCUGGCUCCACGCCUGUCAGAUCGGCAUGUUUUAUGACCUACUUGGACAUUGUCUCGUUUCUCGUGCACAAUGGUGCUGACAUUAUGAAGGCCAAUUACAACGGCGGUUCAUGCCUCAUAAAUUCCGUGCAGAGCGUGGAAUUGUGCACUUUCAUUCUGAAUCACGGUGCUGACGUGAAUGCGAGCGAUAUCCAAAAUAAAACUGCUUUGCAUUACGCCAUUCAAGAACACAGGUUUCAAACUAUGAAACUCCUACUGGAGCACAACGCCGAUCCGUACCUGAAGUCCCGGUAUAAUGACGACGCUCUACAAACUGCUUGCAUCAAAGGCGGCGUACUCGCUUUUCAAUAUCUGGUGGAACACGCGUCGUAUACUCCGGAGCGGCUUGCCGAUGCCAAUGAACUAAUGGGGUCAACUUAUUUCGACGAGUUCAAUGACACUCACACGGCCUUGAAAUAUUGGCGAACCGCCCUUGACAUCAGAUGCUCUAACACGAUCGAUGGCAAGCCCCUACCAAAGAGACCCGUGAUGCCUAAGAGGGAGUAUCUCCAAAACGCCACGGAAAUUACCACUCUGACCGAGCUUAACGCCAUAGCUCUCGACGUGGAUGCGAUGAGGAUCCAGAGCCUGUUGAUUUGCGAAAGGAUUUUGGGGCCGCAUCAUAAGGAUACCCUAUUCAGACUUAUGUUUCGAGGGGCGGCGUAUGCCGAUGCUCUAAGAUACCAGCGCUGCAUAGACCUAUGGAGAAGGGUACUAAAGAUCCGCAUGGAGAAGGACUCGAUUUUGUUCACCGAAACUUGCUUCACCGCCCAAGCUCUCGUACGUCUCAUGAUCGACCUGGAUACGAAAGUCCUGGAAUUGGUGAGGGACCGUAACGCGCAUUGUAGCGAACCCAGGUUUUGCGACGUCGUCGCGGUGUUUAAGUUGCUCACGUCUCAGUUGAUGGAAGCAGGAGAAUUAUUUCAAAUACGUCCAGUUUACAAGAGACAGCAGGAUAAUUAUGACUGCAUUUUAAAAUGCAUCACGCAUUUGAUUUACCUACUGACGAGAACCGCCCAAUCCCCGGAAGAGAAGGCCGAAAUGGGCCAAUUGGUUUACGAAUUGGUUAGACAAAAUCCGAGAUCGGCCUCCUCGGGAGAUACUCUUCUUCAUUUCGCGAUAUCCGGGAUGAACACCAUCCACGGCGAGGACUUUGGUAGCGGGGACGUUCAGUAUAUUUUCCCUCACUUCGACGUGACGAAGCUGCUCCUGGAGUGUGGGGCUCACGUGAAUGCCAGGAACGACGCGAAGUCUACUCCACUGCACGUUGCCAGUGACUUUCGUAAUUUCCGGAAACCCUUGGUGCAGUUGCUGCUGGACCAUGGUGCUCACUUGGACACUCCGAACAAGGCAGGGGACACUCCGAUUCUUCUGCUCUCGUCAAAUCCGGAGAACGACUUGAAUCUCGUCAAGUACAUUACUCUGCAGUGUCACGCUGCCCAGGCCAUAAGGAAGUAUGGAAUUCGGUGCUCGGAAUUGCCGGCGACUCUUCACCGCUUCUUGGAAUAUCACAUGGACUAGGACGCGUGUCCGUCGGAGUUGCAAGUGGAGAGUGUGCUCCGCUGCGCGUCACACCGAUUGCGAGAUUACCGGGAGCUCGAGGUGGCUUUCAAGGUUCUCCCGAGAAAGUGAAACCCUGACGAACAUUUUGCUGCUAAAACCUAAUAGAGAGAAGGUGCCAUGGUAAACUGGCGGUCAUGAGUGGCUUCCUAGUGUACAUGGCGCAGCCUGGUGGUGGUAACGUAAACGUAACGUAAAAAACGAGCUCGAGAACUUAUGUACUUGCGGUACCUGAUGUAUAAUAAACUGUAAAAUAAUUAAUGUAAUAAAGCAAC